CUGUCCCACAAUAAGUUACGUAGCUGGUCUUGGGGAAGAAAUAUCUAGAUCGGGAUUACGUGGGAAGAUUUGCACGAGCGUAUUCGAGUAAACUGCAGAGGGUGGUCGUCACCGCUUAAGGCGAUGGUUCGAGAAACUGUCCGACCUCCUUAUUUCUAAAAAAUGUUUUCUUUCUUCCCUCCCAUACUCUCCCUCGCUCUCAGCUCAAGGCAUGGCAGAGCACCACGACCUCAUCUCCCUCCUGAUUCCCCUUUCAGUAGUGCCAUGUCCUUUCCCUCACCCACCACUGGAGCUAGCAUCUUCCCGGCCUACGGGUUGAGCAUCAUCCCACUCCUCCCCCACCAUCACGCCACCGCUAGCCUCCAUGGAAGGGCUGUCGCCAUGAGCUCACGCCGGCCCUGCUGUAGGUUGGCGGUGGCCUAGCCCGACUUGCGCGGCAUUAAGACGACAUGGGGAUAGAACAACCGGCGUGCAUGAGGGGAUGAGGUGAUGCGGGCAACAGGAUGGGUCGGAUAAGGGAUCGGAAGUAAGCCGCCGUCGGAUCCCUCGGGAAGGUGGUACAUCAAUCCAUUCUCCUUCACGUACACCGCUCCAACACCCUUCUCUCCUUCCUUCCCACGACCUCCUGUCCUUCUGUAUGAGCUUGGAGGUGGACUGUGCGAGGAAGCGAGCAGCGACACUGCCAGGUGGUAGCAUGGCCACUGUCCCGCCUGUGCUCAUCGGUGGUUCCCCGAAUGAUGUCCUCCUCCAAGCCUGCAGCCACUGCAUGAAGUUACACUCCGCUAGCCUGCUGCAGCAAGGUCACGGGAAGUAUAAGAAUCUGAAUAUUAGUUU